CGGGCAGUAGCUCAGUGGUAGAGCACCCGCUUCGAAUGCAGGAAGACCUGGGUUCGAUUCCCGGCUGCUUAC
rnacentral:tRNA from 1 species